AAAUUAUCUCAUUCCAACAUUUCAUUUCCAUUUUUUCCCCCAUAGCAGGAUUCCAAGGACACGUUUAUGACCAUCAUAAUUGUGAGUUAGCGAUCUCCCAGGCCAAGCGAAAUGAAAUUAUGAGAAACUGAAAUGUGUUUUAAUUGGAGCAUUUAUGGAAGAAAGAAGUCAGAGUGGCUGCUUUUUUCCUUUGUGUGACUCUGCGGUCCGUGGCAAUACCUGUGCCCAGGACACCAGGACUGGAUGAGCUUGGGCCAAGCUAACAGUGGAGAGAAGAGCAGAGAGAAUGAGGCUUGGGGGACCAGGUGUAUUCCUCAGGAUGCCAUCGGCAGUGAUUGACAGUACUCAGCCCCACCUGGCUCAGGAUCGUAAGCCAAGAGAGGAAAUUCAGGUCAUAGAACUGAAGUCCUGGGAUAAGUGACAUCAGGCAGAACUGGACGUAAGUGCUCAAGCGAGGUCACCAGAACGCUCCACUUCUAGCU
rnacentral:lncRNA from 1 species